rnacentral:rRNA from 1 species
GACGAACGCUGGCGGCGUGCUUAACACAUGCAAGUCGAGCGGAAAAGCCCUUUCGGGGGUACUCGAGCGGCGAACGGGUGAGUAACACGUGAGUACUCUGCCCCUGGCUUUGGGCUAGCCACCGGAAAGGGUGAUGAAUACCGGAUACGACCACUUCUCGCAUGGGAUGGUGGUGGAAAGUUUUUCGGCCAGGGAUGUGCUGGCGGCCUAUAAGGUUGAUGGUGAGGUAAUGGCCCACCAUGGCUUCGACGGGUGGCCGGCCUGAGGGGGUGACCGGUCACACUGGGACUGAGACACGGCCCAGACUCCUACGGGAGGCAGCAGUGGGGAAUAUUGGACAAUGGGCGGAAGCCUGAUCCAGCAACGCCGCGUGAGGGAUGACGGCCUUCGGGUUGUAAACCUCUUUCAGCAGGGACGAAGCGCAAGUGACGGUACCUGCAGAAGAAGCACCGGCCAACUACGUGCCAGCCGCCGCCGUAA